ACUUUGAMCAAAUNAGAGUGCUCAAAGCAGGCCAUCCUCGCNUGAAUACUGUGUGCAUGGAAUAAUGGAAUAGGACCUCGGUUCUAUUUUGUUGGUUUUCGGAACCCCGAGGUAAUGAUUAAUAGGGACAGAUGGGGGCAYUCGUAUUGCGACGUUAGAGGUGAAAUUCUUGGAUCGUCGCAAGACGGACAGAAGCGAAAGCAUUUGCCAAAAAUGUUUUCAUUAAUCAAGAACGAAAGUUAGAGGUUCGAAGGCGAUCAGAUACCGCCCUAGUUCUAACCAUAAACGAUGCCAGCUAGCGAUCCGCCGAAGUUCCUUUGAUGACUCGGCGGGCAGCUUCCGGGAAACCAAAGCUUUUGGGUUCCGGGGGAAGUAUGGUUGCAAAGCUGAAACUUAAAGGAAUUGACGGAAGG
rnacentral:rRNA from 1 species